rnacentral:rRNA from 1 species
CCUACGGGCGGCAGCAGUGGGGAAUAUUGGACAAUGGGCGAAAGCCUGAUCCAGCCAUGCCGCGUGUGUGAAGAAGGCCUUCGGGUUGUAAAGCACUUUCAGUGGGGAAGAAAGCCUUGGGGCUAAUACCCUCGAGGAAGGACAUCACCCACAGAAGAAGCACCGGCUAACUCCGUGCCAGCAGCCGCGGUAAUACGGAGGGUGCGAGCGUUAAUCGGAAUUACUGGGCGUAAAGCGCGCGUAGGCGGUCUGAUAAGCCGGUUGUGAAAGCCCCGGGCUCAACCUGGGAACGGCAUCCGGAACUGUCAGGCUAGAGUGCAGGAGAGGAAGGUAGAAUUCCCGGUGUAGCGGUGAAAUGCGUAGAGAUCGGGAGGAAUACCAGUGGCGAAGGCGGCCUUCUGGACUGACACUGACGCUGAGGUGCGAAAGCGUGGGUAGCAAACAGGAUUAGAUACCCCUGUAUC